rnacentral:rRNA from 1 species
CCGGUGACAAACCGGAGGAAGGUGGGGAUGACGUCAAGUCCUCAUGGCCCUUAUGACCAGGGCUUCACACGUCAUACAAUGGUCGGUACAGAGGGUCGCUAAGCCGCGAGGUAGUGCCAAUCUCAUAAAACCGAUCGUAGUCCGGAUCGCAGUCUGCAACUCGACUGCGUGAAGUCGGAAUCGCUAGUAAUCGCGGAUCAGCAUGUCGCGGUGAAUACGUUCCCGGGCCUUGUACACACCGCCCGUCACACCAUGGGAGUGGAAUCCGCCAGAAGUGGGUAGGGUAACCGUAAGGAGCCCGCUUACCACGGUAGGUUUCAUGACUGGGGUGAAGUCGUAACAAGGUAGCCGUAGGGGAACCUGCGGCUGGAUCACCUCCUUU